rnacentral:rRNA from 1 species
UAAGACGAACCGUGCGAACGUUAUUCGGAAUCACUGGGCUUAAAGCGCGUGUAGGCGGGCCGGCACGUCGGUCGCUGAAAUCCCCCGGCUCAACCGGGGAAGGGGCGCCGAUACGACCGGCCUGGAGGGGCGUAGGGGGAUCGGGAACUUCCGGUGGAGCGGUGAAAUGCGUUGAGAUCGGAAGGAACGCCCGUGGCGAAAGCGCGGUCCUGGACGCCUGCUGACGCUGAGACGCGAAAGCCAGGGGAGCGAACGGGAUUAGAUACCCCGGUAGUCCUGGCCGUAAACGAUGGGCACUGGGUAGGGGGCUCGCCGAUGGGCUCCCUGCCGCAGGGAAACCGUGAAGUGCCCCGCCUGGGGAGUAUGGUCGCAAGGCUG